rnacentral:rRNA from 1 species
CCUACGGGAGGCAGCAGUGAGGAAUAUUGGUCAAUGGGCGCGAGCCUGAACCAGCCAAGUAGCGUGAAGGAUGAAGGCCUUCGGGUUGUAAACUGCUUUUAUAAGCGAGAAAUAUGAUGGUAACUUAUGAAUAAGGAUCGGCUAACUACGUGCCAGCCGCCGCGGUAAUACGGAGGAUGCGAGCGUUAUCCGGAUUUAUUGGGUUUAAAGGGUGCGUAGGCGGACAGUCAAGUCAGCGGUAAAAAUGCGGUGCUCAACGCCGUACAGCCGUUGAAACUGGCAGUCUUGAGUGGGCGAGAAGUAUGCGGAAUGCGUGGUGUAGCGGUGAAAUGCAUAGAUAUCACGCAGAACUCCGAUUGCGAAGGCAGCAUACCGGCGCCCGACUGACGCUGAGGCACGAAAGCGUGGGUAUCGAACAGGAUUAGAUACCCCUGUAGUC